GUGUCAGCAGCCGCGGUAAGACGGAGGGGGCUAGCGUUGUUCGGAAUGACUGGGCGUAAAGGGCGCGUAGGCGGUUUUUUAAGUGAGGCGUGAAAGCCCUGGGCUUAACCCAGGAGGUGCGUUUCAUACUGGAAAGCUUGAGUGCGAGAGAGGAAAGUGGAAUUCCUAGUGUAGAGGUGAAAUUCGUAGAUAUUAGGAAGAACACCAGUGGCGAAGGCGACUUUCUGGCUCGCAACUGACGCUGAGGCGCGAAAGCGUGGGGAGCAAACAGGAUUAGAUACCCUGGUAGUCC
rnacentral:rRNA from 1 species